CCUACGGGAGGCAGCAGUGGGGAAUAUUGGGCAAUGGGCGCAAGCCUGACCCAGCAACGCCGCGUGAAGGAAGAAGGCUUUCGGGUUGUAAACUUCUUUUCUCAGGGACGAAACAAGCGACGCUACCUGAGGAAUAAGCCACGCCUAACUACGUGCCAGCGGCCGUAGUAAUACGUAAGUGGCAAGCGUUCUCCGGAUUUACUGGGUGUAAAGGGCGAGUAGGCGGGAAAGCAAGUCAGAUGUGAAAACCAUGGGCUCAACCUGUGGCCUGCAUUUGAAACUGUUUGUCUUGAGUACUGGAGAGGCAGACGGAAUUCCUAGUGUAGCGGUGAAAUGCGUAGAUAUUAGGAGGAACACCAGUGGCGAAGGCGGUCUGCUGGACAGCAACUGACGCUGAGGCGCGAAAGCGUGGGGAGCAAACAGGAUUAGAUACCCGAGUAGUC
rnacentral:rRNA from 1 species